UACGGAGGAUCCAAGCGUUAUCCGGAAUCAUUGGGUUUAAAGGGUCCGUAGGCGGUUUAGUAAGUCAGUGGUGAAAGCCCAUCGCUCAACGGUGGAACGGCCAUUGAUACUGCUGAACUUGAAUUAUUAGGAAGUAACUAGAAUAUGUAGUGUAGCGGUGAAAUGCUUAGAGAUUACAUGGAAUACCAAUUGCGAAGGCAGGUUACUACUAAUUGAUUGACGCUGAUGGACGAAAGCGUGGGGAGCGAAC
rnacentral:rRNA from 1 species